rnacentral:rRNA from 1 species
GGAUGAACGCUGGCGGCGUGCUUAACACAUGCAAGUCGAACGAUGAAGCCCAGCUUGCUGGGUGGAUUAGUGGCGAACGGGUGAGUAACACGUGAGUAACCUGCCCUUAACUCUGGGAUAAGCCUGGGAAACUGGGUCUAAUACCGGAUAGGAGCGUCCACCGCAUGGUGGGUGUUGGAAAGAUUUAUCGGUUUUGGAUGGACUCGCGGCCUAUCAGCUUGUUGGUGAGGUAAUGGCUCACCAAGGCGACGACGGGUAGCCGGCCUGAGAGGGUGACCGGCCACACUGGGACUGAGACACGGCCCAGACUCCUACGGGAGGCAGCAGUGGGGAAUAUUGCACAAUGGGCGCAAGCCUGAUGCAGCGACGCCGCGUGAGGGAUGACGGCCUUCGGGUUGUAAACCUCUUUCAGUAGGGAAGAAGCGAAAGUGACGGUACCUGCAGAAGAAGCACCGGCUAACUACGUGCCAGCAGCCGCGGUAAUACGUAGGGUGCGAGCGUUAUCCGGAAUUAUUGGGCGUAAAGAGCUCGUAGGCGGUUUGUCGCGUCUGUCGUGAAAGUCCGGGGCUUAACCCCGGAUCUGCGGUGGGUACGGGCAGACUAGAGUGCAGUAGGGGAGACUGGAAUUCCUGGUGUAGCGGUGGAAUGCGCAGAUAUCAGGAGGAACACCGAUGGCGAAGGCAGGUCUCUGGGCUGUAACUGACGCUGAGGAGCGAAAGCAUGGGGAGCGAACAGGAUUAGAUACCCUGGUAGUCCAUGCCGUAAACGUUGGGCACUAGGUGUGGGGACCAUUCCACGGUUUCCGCGCCGCAG